AUUGAACGCUGGCGGCAGGCUUAACACAUGCAAGUCGAGCGAGCGGAGGAGGGGUGAAUGGUGUCGGAACACCUGCCUGAUGGAGGGGUCUAACUAGGAUAACCGGUAGAUAACACCGCAAAACCUGCUAUGUGCCCAGAGGGGAUGAGCUAGUGGGGGGGGUAAUGGCUCACCAAGGCGACUCUCCCUAGCUGGUCUGAGAGGAUGACCAGCCACACUGGAACUGAGACACGGGCCAGACUCCUACGGGAGGCAGCAGUGGGGAAUAUUGCACAAUGGGCGCAAGCCUGAUGCAGCCAUGCCGCGUGUGUGAAGAAGGCUUUCGGGUUGUAAAGCACUGUCAGCGGGGAGGCGUUACCCGCAGAAGAAGCACCGGCUAACUCCGUGCCAGCAGCCGCGGUAAUAC
rnacentral:rRNA from 1 species